AUGAGCAGCUUGUGGCAAAAUAAAUAAAAGAAAUAAACAAAAAGGGAUAUGGGUACUCAGUUUUGGGUAUGCUGCAAAAGAUGGGCAAGUUUGGACAAGUUUUGAGUACCCAAAUUUUCUCUCUUCUACCCAUAAUGGUUUUGGGUAUCCAAAUUAUGGGUAUGCUGUUGGAGAUGCUCUUAGCACAGCUGUGGUACAUCAGCAGGUUCGCACAUGAAAUCAGGUGUGAUGAACCUUUCAUGCUAUUGGGUUGAUAUUAGUAUUUUGCACAUGAAGGGCCAAACCUCCUGGUACGCUGCAUUAGGAUCUAUGGUUAACUAUAAUACAUGUAUGGGAGAACAAGCAAAUAACUAAUUUUGAAGGGAAGACUGUGUUCCCCUUUUGAACUGGAUAUUAAAUUUGGAACACGAAGGCACAAAGUGAUAGUACAGUUUUACACUUGGUGUGCAGUUGAUGUUCCAUUCUCAGUGGAACUAUUAGGUGAACAAGUCGCAGGUGUGGUUAUUUUCCCUCCAGCCACCACAUUGCAGAACGAGGAGGGUGCGAUGGUGGACCUCUACCUCUACGUCCCCAGGAAGUGCUCGGCCACCAACAGUAUCAUCACGGCCAAGGACCGCGCAGAUGUCCAGAUCAACAUUGCACUUCUGAAUUGUCAGUUUCAGGUGUCUUCGUUCAGCUAUUCUAAGUAUUUAUUUUCAUCCUAAGUAUUUGUCAUUUCAUAGUUCCUUUAUUUUCAAAUUGAUGUACAUACUAUAUAUCAUAUCACUCUUUAGGUAUUCUCCUUGAAGUAGAAUGUUCAUCUUGUUAGGGUUCUUGGAGGGACUGAAAAUUGGCUGGAUGCAUGUUCAUCUUUACCAAAAGAAAAAUGUUCACAUGUUACAUGAUCAGGUUCUUGGUUUUACAAUGUAUAUACCCUUUUUCUUUUCCUGGUCCUUGACUUACAGCAUGUAUUACUACUUUGGUUCAUUCUUGCAUGCAGCAGUAGUGUUACAAGGAUAUGUUUGUAUGUUAGGACUAUUUUCUCAAGUGAUUUUUGUUGUUCUUUUGUUCAAUACAUGGAUCUCUUUGUAUGUUAGAUGGAUAUGCUAGGACCAUUACAUGAUCUGUUUGUAUGAAGCCUUCUUGUUGCUCUGCACAUGCAUUUUGGUAAGUUUGGCAAAGAUACAAGUUCUGCUGGAAGCACUUCAAGAGUGGCUCAUUAGUGUGGUCCGUUUAUGCCAGGACAUCAGUUAUUUAGAGCGCAAAGAUACAAAUUCUGCUGGAAGCACUUCAAGAGUGGCUCAUUAGUGCAGGGAAAGGCACCAAGAAGGCAAUAACCAUAAAUUCCUUUGAUCUCUGCAAUAACAUUUGUACUUAGAUACUACUGAUCAUUACAUGCCGUGUUAAGAAAGGCCACAAAGACGACCAUAGUACCACGUGGAACUUACCAGAUCCGACCUCAAUAAUCACUUUCUUUUGAUCUGCAAGUUCUUCCUGUAACCUUGCUAUCUGUUUUCUUCAUCUCCACAAAUCCUUCCAAUUUGUAAUGUCUAAUUGAUCUUGUUGCAAAAAACUGAGCUUUUAAUGAGUUUGUUAUAUGUUUAUACUGCAGGAUAGCAUGCUGGAACUUCACAAGUUUAAAAGACACUUCUCAGUUCAUGUGUUCAGGCCUUCGUUUGUGCUAGUACGGAGCUGAUCUGAAGAAUUUUCUACCAUGUGAUGCCUUUGAUCUGUCCAGAGAUCAAAUGCUUUUGAUCUGUUCAGUGAUCAAAUUUAAAUGCCACUUGCAGUUGAAUAUAUUCUUCAUAUGUUCUGAUGUUCAGACCUGAUCGAUUUGGUUUCUAUGUAAAAUUCUGGAUGGAUUGUUUAUUUCGGACUGUAGUACUCUGUUCGAGGCUACAAUUCAGCAUGGAAUUGCACACAAGUCUAUGUUCUUGUAUUUAAAUACGAUGCUAUCCAAACAAUAUUUUAGAAGGGAAAAAA